AGAGUUUGAUCAUGGCUCAGGAUGAACGCUAGCGGCAGGCUUAACACAUGCAAGUCGAGGGGUAUAUGUCUUCGGAUAUAGAGACCGGCGCACGGGUGCGUAACGCGUAUGCAAUCUACCUUUUACAGGGGAAUAGCCCAGAGAAAUUUGGAUUAAUGCCCCAUAGUAUAAUUGAAUGGCAUCAUUUAAUUAUUAAAGUCACAACGGUAAAAGAUGAGCAUGCGUCCCAUUAGUUAGUUGGUAAGAUAACGGCUUACCAAGACAAUGAUGGGUAGGGGUCCUGAGAGGGAGAUCCCCCACACUGGUACUGAGACACGGACCAGACUCCUACGGGAGGCAGCAGUGAGGAAUAUUGGACAAUGGGCGCAAGCCUGAUCCAGCCAUGCCGCGUGCAGGAAGACGGUCCUAUGGAUUGUAAACUGCUUUUAUACAGGAAGAAGCACUCCGACGUGUCGGAGCUUGACGGUACUGUAGGAAUAAGGAUCGGCUAACUCCGUGCCAGCAGCCGCGGUAAUACGGAGGAUCCAAGCGUUAUCCGGAAUCAUUGGGUUUAAAGGGUCCGUAGGCGGUUUAAUAAGUCAGUGGUGAAAUCUGGUCGCUCAACGAUCAAACGGCCAUUGAUACUGUGAGACUUGAAUUAUAAGGAAGUAACUAGAAUAUGUAGUGUAGCGGUGAAAUGCUUAGAUAUUACAUGGAAUACCAAUUGCGAAGGCAGGUUACUACUUAUGGAUUGACGCUGAUGGACGAAAGCGUGGGGAGCGAACAGGAUUAGAUACCCUGGUAGUCCACGCCGUAAACGAUGGAUACUAGCUGUUGGAAGCAAUUUCAGUGGCUAAGCGAAAGUGAUAAGUAUCCCACCUGGGGAGUACGUUCGCAAGAAUGAAACUCAAAGGAAUUGACGGGGGCCCGCACAA
rnacentral:rRNA from 1 species